rnacentral:rRNA from 1 species
AUUGAACGCUAGCGGGAUGCCUUACACAUGCAAGUCGAACGGAGUGGCGAACGGGUGAGUAAUGUAUCGGAACGUGCCCAGUAGCGGGGGAUAACUACGCGAAAGCGUAGCUAAUACCGCAUACUAUUUGAGCGGCUGAUCUCGGAUUAGCUAGUUGGUUGGGUAACGGCGCACCAAGGCGACGCUCCGUAGCUGGUUUGAGAGGACGACCAGCCACGCUGGGACUGGGGCACGGCCCGUACUCCUACGGGAGGCAGCAGUGGGGAAUUUUGGAGAAUGGGGGAAACCCUGAUCCAUCCAUCCCGCGUGUGCGAUGAAGGUCUUCGGUUUGUAAAGCACUUUUGGCAGGAAAGCGGUACCUGCAGAAUAAGGACCGGCUAACUACGUGCCAGCCGCCGCGGUAAUAC